GCCUGGGUGGCCCAGUAGGUUAAGCGUCUGACUUUGACUCAGGUCAUGAUUUCGCUGUUUGUGGGUUCAAGCCCCAUGUUGGGCU
rnacentral:tRNA from 1 species